rnacentral:rRNA from 1 species
AGCGAACGCUGGCGGCAGGCUUAACACAUGCAAGUCGAGCGGGCAUCUUCGGAUGUCAGCGGCAGACGGGUGAGUAACACGUGGGAACGUACCCUUCGGUUCGGAACAACUCUGGGAAACUGGAGCUAAUACCGGAUACGCCCUUAUGGGGAAAGGUUUACUGCCGAAGGAUCGGCCCGCGUCUGAUUAGCUAGUUGGUGGGUAACGGCCUACCAAGGCGACGAUCAGUAGCUGGUCUGAGAGGAUGAUCAGCCACACUGGGACUGAGACACGGCCCAGACUCCUACGGGAAGCAGCAGUGGGGAAUAUUGGACAAUGGGCGCAAGCCUGAUCCAGCCAUGCCGCGUGAGUGAUGAAGGCCUUAGGGUUGUAAAGCUCUUUUGUCCGGGACGAUAAUGACGGUACCGGAAGAAUAAGCCCCGGCUAACUUCGUG